UACGUAGGGUGCGAGCGUUAAUCGGAAUUACUGGGCGUAAAGCGUGCGCAGGCGGUUUUGUAAGACAGAUGUGAAAUCCCCGGGCUUAACCUGGGAACUGCACUUGUGACUGCAAGACUAGAGUGCGGCAGAGGGGGGUAGAAUUCCACGUGUAGCAGUGAAAUGCGUAGAUAUGUGGAGGAAUACCGAUGGCGAAGGCAGCCCCCUGGGUCGACACUGACGCUCAUGCACGAAAGCGUGGGGAGCAAACAGG
rnacentral:rRNA from 1 species